rnacentral:rRNA from 1 species
GAUGAACGCUAGCUACAGGCUUAACACAUGCAAGUCGAGGGGUAACGAGAGGGAAGCUUGCUUUCCUUGUCGACGACCGGCGCACGGGUGAGUAACGCGUAUCCAACCUGCCCCCAACUAGGGAAUAACCUUGCGAAAGUAAGACUAAUACCCUAUAAUUUCCUCAGAUGACAUCUGACGAGGAAUAAAGAUUUAUCGGUUGUGGAUGGGGAUGCGUCUGAUUAGUUUGUUGGCGGGGUAACGGCCCACCAAGGCAACGAUCAGUAGGGGUUCUGAGAGGAAGGUCCCCCACAUUGGAACUGAGACACGGUCCAAACUCCUACGGGAGGCAGCAGUGAGGAAUAUUGGUCAAUGGGCGGAAGCCUGAACCAGCCAAGUAGCGUGCAGGAUGACGGCCCUAUGGGUUGUAAACUGCUUUUAUACAGGAAUAAAGUUAGCCACGUGUGGUUAUUUGUAGGUACUGUAUGAAUAAGGACCGGCUAAUUCCGUGCCAGCAGCCGCGGUAAUAC